GCCAUUUGUAGACUGACGUUUCGGUCAGGUCUUUGGUUUAGAGAAAAUGAGAUUUUGUCUGUCGUGUGCAGAAAUCAAGCAAGUGGUGUAAUUCACAACUGAUGCAGUGAUUCAUAUAAAGUGAUGGAAGGAUGUAUAAAACUGCAGAAAUUGGACCUACAGUACAAAGACAAAUUAAUGGCAUGAAAUAGUAGACAGAUGAAUGACUCGGGGAAGACAAUGAGGAGAAGACAUCGAUCACUUGCACUGAAACUAACUGCAGCGGGUUUCAUCAUUCUCAUGCUUGUGAGAACUGAUUGGUUGGCGUCUGUGUUUAUAGAUAGCAGCCAGUCAUCUCAAAGUGGAUGGGAAGAGAACCCUAUAUUGUAUGGCGAUUCUAUGCAUGAUAAUGAAAAAGUACUAGAUGAUAAUCAACAUAGAAAAAGAAGUAAAAUCAGGGAAAUGAUGGAGAAAGGAGAUGAUUCAGAAAUGUAUUCACAAGCUUGUCCAAUACCGCAUUUAAACAACAGAAAUGAAACUGAAACUAAGAAACCUGCUGAUUGUAAGAGAAUACAGCCUUUCAAAAGUGCAUGUAGAUUAGCCAAGAAAUUAUUUGGAGAUCCAUCCUCACUUGAUAUUGAUGGAGCAUGCAAGACGCCUAAUGCAAGAGAAUUUUGUAGCAUCACAGGCUCUCCAGAUAAAUGGAUCGUCAACUGUGAUAUUUCAUUAUGUGAAAACUUUAUGUACCUUGGUGUAGCAGAUUUCAGCAGUAGCAAAAUUCUGUGGAAAUUGCACAAAACACAGAAACAAUUACAAAAGUCAAUUGAAAGUCUUAUGGAUAAAAGCAAUACUAGAUAUUGUUUUCUUUUAUGCAGGGCAGACUCUAAACACUAUGAGCAAGGAAGUGUUGAACCGCAGGUCUUAAAUUUGCCUCCUGCAUCUACUGAAUUUCAAUCGAAAUUUGACAGUCACAGCAGAAAAUAUAUUAAUUUGAAUUUCAUAUUUAUUGAUUCUGUCUCAAGGCAUCACUUUUAUAGGUCUUUACCACGAUCUGUAAAAACGAUUGACUCAAUGGCAGUUGAACACAAGGAUAGUAAAUUAAUGGUUCUUGAUUUUGAACUUGUUCAGGGAGUCCGUUCAAGAACGUUUGAAAAUUUGCAGACACUUUUUUCUGGUCUUGUUAACCCAUUUGAAGUCCCUUUUGGAACACUAGAAAUGCCAAGAGAAAAAUUGAAUAUAGAAAAAUUAUUAGUGCCUUUGAGGGGUUUGGGAUUCUCAAAUCUUUGGAUGGAAGACUUGUGCCCAUUCUGGGAAUGGGGACUGUCAAAAGAUUUAUUAGUUUAUGAUGAAAGUUUAAAAAGAAAAACCUUGUACAAGAAAUUUAGAGAUGCCAGCAAUAGAGCUGGUAUUGAUGACCUAGGGAACACAUUCUUAAGCUGUGAUAUACUUGAAGCAAAUAAAGUGCCUGACCCAUUCCAUGCCCCAGAUAAAAUUUGUUAUAAUGGAAAACAUCAACAUGAAUAUAUGCUUUCAUAUUUGAAGACAUUCCAAAGGACGAUGCAGCAUAGGUCUAAACCAUUCCUUUCUUUCUUUGAAACAAAUAUCGGCCACAUAGGCUCAGGAAGGAGGAUUCAGUAUUUGGAUGCUUCUCUUGCAAAGCAUCUUGAUUUUGCUAAAGAUAUGAGCGACACUUUGUCUGUAGUCUUUUCAGACCAUGGUAAUGCAUAUGGAGAAUUUGUGAACAGUGCUCCAGACGGGAGAAUUGAGAUAUAUCACCCUUUUCUUUUCAUGAUCAUUCCAGAGAAAGUUCAAUCAUUUUUCACUGACAGUGAGUUACGUGCUUUAAAAGUUAAUCAACACCGACUGAUAAGUGUAUUAGAUCUACAUUACACUCUCUCAUAUAUAACUGAACUGCUACAUAGUGAAUUUCAAUCAAAGAAAACGUUUGAAAGUGAAGUUGAUGACUUCAACAAGCAGUUCAACGUUUCCAAAUAUGGACUGCUGACAGAAAUUUCACCGUCAAGAACGUGCAGUCAUAUGCCAAGGAUCAUGCCAAAUUUAUGUAUCUGUGAUGGGUACGAUGUUACCUCGAACAAUCGGGCAUAUCAUUACAUACUUGCCGUAUAUUUUGUGGGCAUGAUGAAUAAUCAAAUCCAGAAACAAAAGUCAGAACACUACAGAUUAAAGAAUGGAAAGAAAAACGUUUUUGGAGGUUUUGGGAAUUGUCAACGAAUGAAGGUGAAGAAAAUAAAGAAUAUACAGGAUAGUAAACAGAACGAUUACAUGUCAACAGCGAAAAUGGACUUGUAUGUUGACACAGAUGGGCAGAGUGUUGAUGAAAUAUUUUUCAUAAGUAUUCAGAUGAUGAAAGACUCCAAAUUUUCAUUAAGCAGUUUUGAAAGAAUAACUCCAUACAGUAAAUAUUCAAACUGUACUGACAAAGGGGUUGAUGUGAAAUUGUGUAUAUGUUAUUUCCAGAAUGAAGACGCAAGUACAAAAUCGGCGUUUAAUAGUGAUGAAAUAGAUAACAUUUUGGAAAGUCUUUUAUAUCCGGAAUUGAAACAUAAUAUCACAUCAGUAAGUAUGCAUGGUCGUGAAUGUUUGUUCAUCAUAUCUCAGUCAAACAAGUUAGGGGUUGUGUAUGAAGCGUUUAAUAAUUGCGAAAAACAGUUGAUGCUCAAAGUUUUAUUUAAACCAGUAAAUUUAGUCCUGUCCACAGCUAAUGUGAUAGAUGUAAGUAUGGCUUCAGGUGAUAUAACAUUCCUUGCAGCUGGCGUGAGUGAUGUGAAAAAUGACUGGUCAUGUGAUAUAAUAAAAGUUAGUGUUCAGUUGUAAUUAUUGCAAUGUUGUUGUGAAAAUACGUAAGAGAAGUUGUUCAGUUUGGUCUAUGGAGUGUAGCUUGAUAUUUUUGGGAGCCACAGUCAUGUAGAAGUCUUCUUGUGAAGAAGCCGUCCAGAAGGCUAACGGAAGGUCUACCUAGGUGCCUUCCAAUGCCUGAAACUGUGCUCGGAGGGGCACCCGGGAGCUUGCUUUACCAGCAAAAGCUGGAAAAACAUCUGACCUAAAUUGUGUCGGUUUGACUCGAAACUCGAUAAAAAGAAACAAAAAAUCGCAUUUAGCGCACGGAAUAUUUGACCUAACAAAUGACGAAAUUGUCAGCUUCUAAAGCACGCAGUGCAAUCAAUUAUAACAUUUGUGUCUAUCACGUUUUGUAAAUUAUGACUUUUCAUUGCUUAUAAAAUUAAUUUAAAUUUCUUACCUUUCCAUCAAACUGACGCCUGCGAAAGGUCACCAUAGGCGUUCAGUACUGUUUUGAGAGCGAAACAUUCGAGGUCUUUCGACAAACUCCCCCAAAUUUACUAUCGGUACCACUGAUAAACAUAUGAGCAGUCAAACGUUGCGUUCAAUGUAUCAUUAUAUUAAAAGGGUGAACAAUUGUCUGUGAUACACAUUUCAGUCAAUGGUUCUAAAAGUUUUGCACAUAUUUGUAAUAUUUUGAUGUUAAAGGAAGGGCAGUAUUGAAAAAAGUAUUUUUUCUUCUUCAAAUUUUCUUUUAAAUUGAAAAAUGUAAUAAGACAGUUAUACUACAUCUCAUAGCGUAUAUAUGGUUGUCGCAGCACGGGGGUUAUAAAGGGGGACUUGCAGCUUGACUUAUACCUCCAUCAGCUCGUAUGAAAAUCUGAAUAUUUCUUACAACUGAGAUUUCGAUAUAAAUUCUGUUUCAUUUCUUAGUAGAAACGGUAUCUUGAAUCAACAGGAGAAAGAUCACUGUAGUAUUCAUCCAAUUUUCCUAGUUAUUAUUGUGUAAAUCAGUAAAGUUUUUUUUCUUUUAGUUAUAUUUUGAAGAAGAAUUUGUACCAACAGCUUUGGGGUCAGUGAUACUUUUGAACUUAGCAAAAUAAAUUGUUUUUAUUUCUCACCAGUUUGAUUUUUUCAAUAGAUUUAAGUAUUUGAAAACAGUUAAACUGUAAAGGUUGACUAAUAUUACAGGGACUAUGGUACAUAUUUUUAUUUGACGAGUUUUUGUACAAAUUAGAGGCAACGAAUGUUUUAUUUCUUUGUUUGAUAAUAUACUUUUCAGAUAGCGUUAGGUCCUACUAAGUAUUUAUGUAUUCAUGUGUUAUAGAUUGGUAAAUAAUAAUGAUAUUCAGAUAUACUUUACACGUGUAAUUUCAAUUUUCGGGAUUUUUAUAUUAUAAAAUCUGUGGUGUG
rnacentral:misc_RNA from 1 species